rnacentral:rRNA from 1 species
UUGGAGGGCAAGUCUGGUGCCCGCAGCCGCGGUAAUUCCAGCUCCAAUAGCGUAUAUUAAAGUUGUUGCAGUUAAAAAGCUCGUAGUUGAAUUUCGGGAUCAGAGUGUCGGUCGUGCCUCGGUACGCACUGGUAUUAUUGGUUCCUACCUUCUGAAGAGCCGCGAUGUCAUUAAUUUGGUGUCGUGGGGAAUCAGGACUGUUACUUUGAAAAAAUUAGAGUGUUUAAAGCUGGCUUACGCUUGAAUACAUUAGCAUGGAAUAAUGAAAUAGGACGUUUGAUUCUAUUUUGUUGGUUUCUAGGAUUGACGUAAUGAUUAAUAGGGAUAGUUGGGGGCAUUAGUAUUCAAUUGUCAGAGGUGAAAUUCUUGGAUUUAUUGAAGACUAACUACUGCGAAAGCAUUUGCCAAGGAUGUUUUCAUUAAUCAAGAACGAAAGUUAGGGGAUCGAAGACGAUCAGAUACCGUCGUAGUCUUAACCAUAAACUAUGCCGACUAGGGAUCGGAUGAUGUUAAUUUUUUAAUGACUCAUUCGGCGCCUUACGGAAAC